rnacentral:lncRNA from 8 species
GAAGCCUUAGUCCAGGGCCAGCAGCUGUUUCUGUGCAGGGAGAAGCUCCAGAGGACAUCUCACAACCAGGAGAUGCAUAGUCGCUGUGAGAUCCUGGCAAUACAGCUAGAAGAAAGUGUUCAGUUAUGCCGUGAAAAGGAGAACCAUGCCAGGCAUAUGGAGGAGGAGCAGGGGAGGAUGGAGGAGCAGGCUGCCCAGACUGAGGCCAGACUCCAGGCCACAGUGGCCUCCCUCAGACUGGAGCUAGACACACUGAGAUGGCUGCAACAGAAUGAGCUGUCAGCUCUACAGGAGAGCCAGGCGGAGGUGCUGAAGGCGUCAGAGUGUGUCGUCUCCACCCUACGCUGCUCCCAGGUUCAGCUGACCUCUGAACUACAGAAUUACAGACUACAGCUGGAGGAGGCCCAGCACAACACCACCGCCCUGCUGGCAGAACUCAACACCAGAGAACAGCUGCUGCAGAGCACCAGCGAGACCCUGCUUAUCAAGGUAGAGCUGUGA